rnacentral:rRNA from 1 species
AAAGCAUAUCAAUAAGCGGAGGAAAAAGAAACCAACAGGGGAUUGCCUCAGUAACGGCGAGUGAAGCGGCAACAGCUCAAAUUUGAAAUCUGGUCCCAGCGGCCCGAGUUGUAAUUUGCAGAGGAAGCUUUUGGCGAGGCGCCUUCCGAGUUCCCUGGAACGGGACGCCGUAGAGGGUGAGAGCCCCGUACGGUCGGCCGCCGAGCCUCUGUAAAGCUCCUUCGACGAGUCGAGUAGUUUGGGAAUGCUGCUCUAAAUGGGAGGUAAACCCCUUCUAAAGCUAAAUACUGGCCAGAGACCGAUAGCGCACAAGUAGAGUGAUCGAAAGAUGAAAAGCACUUUGAAAAGAGAGUUAAACAGCACGUGAAAUUGUUGAAAGGGAAGCGCUUGUGGCCAGACUUGCGCCUGGCAGCUCAGCCGUCCUUCCAGGGCGGUGCAUUCUGCCGGCUCAGGCCAGCAUCAGUUCGCGGCGGGGGAGAAAGACGGUGGGAACGUGGCUCCUCGGAGUGUUAUAGCCCGCCGUCAUGCCCUGCCGUGGACUGAGGUUCGCGCUUCCGCAAGGAUGCUGGCGUAAUGGCCACCAGCGACCCGUCUUGAAACACGGACCAAGGAGUCGUCCUAAUAUGCGAGUGUUAGGGUGUGAAACCCCUGCGCGUAAUGAAAGUGAACGGAGGUGAGAGCUUCGGCGCAUCAUCGACCGAUCCUGAUGUUCUCGGAUGGAUUUGAGUAAGAGCAUAUUGGGCCGGACCCGAAAGAAAGUGAACUAUGCUUGGAUAGGGUCAAGCCAGAGGACUCUGGUGGAGGCUCGCAGCGGUUCUGACGUGCAAAUCGAUCGUCAAAUCUGAGCAUGGGGGCGAAAGACUAAUCGAACUUUCUAGUAGCUGGUUUCCGCCGAAGU